UCAACGGAAAACACUUCGCUAUCCGCCGCCAAUCAAGCUACGGACUUCAGCAGGAUAAAGUACAAUUAAGCAAAAUUUCAUCCAUACCAAAUCCAUACACACAUUUCUAUGAUAAAAAUGAUUACAUUAUAUUUAUUACGGACGCAUAGACGGGCUCACCUCAAAAUCGACGCAAGAGAGAAACAGAGAGAAAAGCGCAAGCCGAUAUGUAAACAAACACCAGUGGACAAGCGUGCGCAUGCGCGAGCUGGUGAGGACGAAAAUUAUCGUUCUGUCAAACAUAAGUCCGCUCUGGAGCAGAAUUAUUUUUGACAGUUCGAAAAUCAAGGAAAAAUAAUUUUCGAACUGUCAAAUUUAAUUAAAAUUAUUUUUAAUAUCCCAAUUGAGACAGACCCUUAACGUAGGAGCAACACGUGCGUGAGAUUCUCUCUCUCGGUUGGUGUGGUUUGUUUUGAUUCAAUCUGACAUUUCUUUUAUGCUGCUCAUGCUGCUGAUGCUGCCAGCUGAUGGUGGCAAGGAUGGAGGAGCAUAGUCGAAGGGGUGCUCCAAUGUGUUUUCGGAAGAAUUCGUCGAGAUAAAAAGUUUUCGUUAUAAAAAAUAUGGAAAAUUCUAGUUUAAAAGUUCAGCAUUAAACUUUUCAAUGCGUGUUACAUAUAUUAUUUUACAGAGAAUCAGUCUAGAGGUCGUUUAACGUAAUAAGAGCAUUAACAUAAAAGUCUAUAAUUUUACAAGAACGCAUUGAAACGCCCCUUGUGUGGGGGAUAUAAUGAGUGCAAUUAAACGGCGAUUCCCAACCAGCUCAAACAAAUUCCCUUGGAAUUCAUCUUCGAAGUAAAAUCACAAUAUCCGACUAAUGGUGUACUUAGUAUCCGACCAAUCGCAAGAACAGCGGGACUAACGCCAAUAAUAAUCAUAAGCUUACACGCUUAAACUGCUCCGCACAUCGCAUGAGUAACAGUUACUCACUGUGGAGCAUCGCUGCAAAUCCGGGAGAAUGUGUGAAAAUUAUGUGUACGUCAUACUCACGCCGUGAGCUGAUGGCCACUUACUCAUUUUUGAGCUCCUGGUUUGUGUUGACAAACGCUCCAAAAAGCGAGCGUUGGUCAAUAAACGCUAUUAAAAAAAUAAAAAGAAAAGUUUUUCGUUGUGGGGAUCACCGAAAGUGAAGAAAUGCAUUGUUAUGUUAUCUUCUGUGAUGCAGAUUAGAAAAUAUGCCGAUUCGGAACCACCACGAGUAUGAGUGAGCGUUUUGGUCAAGUUUUGACUCACUCGAUAACAUUCGGUUACGAACAGGAGGAAUGGCCAAAGCACCGGUUCACGGAAUUUACUUCUAUUCCUGCGUCAUUAGCAGAGAUUCGUUGGAUGUUAACACAAGAGUUUACCAAACGUAAUCAGAAUGUCCAUCAGGCCCAUCGAAAUAUUUUUUUCUUCAAAAUUAUGUAUUUUUUUAUAAUUAUAUUAUUGUAAAUCUUAAACUACCACAAACAAUUGAGUUUUAUUUAUCACAAAAACAACAUUGAAAUAAAAUAAAUUUUGUCAAAUGUGCAACUUUCACACAUUUCCGAAGCAAGCGAAGCAUACGCAUUUAUGUGUAACGGUUACUCAUUCUUCCGGAAUGGUGACGAAACGCUUCAAUGUGUGAAGCUUACUCAUGCUGCUUUGGCUCUCAAGCACUUGCUCAAAAAUGAGUAAGGCCCCUCUUGCUCACUUUAGGAGUGCCAUGGGAUGAAUAUAAAUUUGAGUAGAUCUUGCUCAUUAUUGAGUGGACCGACUUCUGCGUGUAGUUUGAAAGAACGGCCUAUCUUUUGAAGAAGGCCUAAUUUCUUGUUUGUUGAUCGAGAGGAUAACGCCAAAACUUCAGCACAGAGUAGUCAACACUUUGAACUUAAUAGUGUUCACGACUGAUCUACUCGGAAUUACUACGUUUCGUUAAAAUGAACAAUAGUUCAUAAAAAAUAAAAUGCGGAUGCAGAAAAAACACCAAAAUCGCGAGAAUGCAGCAUUCUUAUUUGAAUAAGCUGUUCUUUUGAAACCAUGGUUUGAAUCCAAAUUUUAAAAAUAAAACGUCAAGGUUCCCCAUAAAAUAACAACUUAAAAGAACAGCCCAUUGAAAGAAGGGCAAAUUUCUGGUAAAAAAUGACAUCAAAUUGAAUUUAAUUUCCUUGAAGAUAGAACUAGAAAGAAAAGCCUAUUAACAAAAGAAGGGACAAUUCCAAUAAAUGUUUCCACAGCUAUAUUGUUGAAAAUGUCUAUAACAGUAUAAGUCUUAUACAGAGCCCGUUCGCUCGUUGCAAACUCGCUCAUUGCAACGCUUUUGAUUGCAAGUCCGCUAAUUGCAAAAUUUGACACGUGUUUGCAAUUAAAAAGCAAUCAAGUGUCAAAUUUAUGCUGUCAGUCUAAAGACACUGUAUGCUAACGACACGAAAUCUGAUGAUUGUUGCUGUUGAUGAUGAUUGUCGCGUCAUGACAAUGAUGCUGUCGAGUAAUGCUUUUAAAGCGCGUUUGACAGGUCUCCUGCUCGAUUGGAAUGACAUUGACAGCAAAUUUGAAAUUCCAAUUGGAACAUUUCGUGUCUUUGCAUAUAGUGUCUUUAUGUCAGUCAUGCUGGCAGUGCAUUUCGAUGGGUUCUGUCACAUUCGCCCGAAAACCAUUCGCCCGAAUUCCAAAUGCCCGAAUGACAAACGCCCGAAUGUAACAAACGCCCGAAAGUCAUUCGCCCGAACAGACCAUUCGCCCGAAAAGACCAUUCGCCCGAAAUACCAUUCGCCCGAAAGACCACUUGCCCGAAAAUCCGAAUCAUAAAAAUACUUUUCUGAAAUCAAUUAAGGCGUCGUUCACGCGUAUUGCUUUCGUUGAACACAGUCUGAUAUAAAACUUAUACUGUUAUAAACAUUUUCAGCAAUAUAGCUGUGGAAACAUUUAUUGGAAUUGUCCCUUCUUUUGUUGAUAGGCUUUUCUUUCUAGUUCUAUCUUCAUGGAAAUUUAAUUCAAUUUGAUGUCAUUUUUACCAGAAAUUCGCCCUUCUUUCAAUCAUGGGCUGCUCUUUUAAGUUGUUAUUUUAUGGGGAACCUUGACGUUUUAUUUUUUACAACUUCUGGAUUCAAAACAUGGUUUCAAAAGAACAGCUUAUUCAAAUAAGAAUGCUGCAUUCUCGCCAUUUUUCUGCAUCCGUUAGCUCACACGUUUUAAUUUUUAUGAACUAUUGUUCGUUUUAACGAAACGUAGUUAUUCCGAGUAAAUCAGUUGAACA